GCCUGGGUGGCUCAGUUGGUUAAGCACCUGACUUGGGCUCAGGAAUUAAUCUCAGGGUUUGUGAGUUGGAGCCCUGCCUCGGGCU
rnacentral:tRNA from 1 species